AUUGAACGCUGGCGGCAGGCCUAACACAUGCAAGUCGAGCGCGCGGCGCACGGGGGAGGAAUGUCUGGGAAACUGCCUGAUGGAGGGGGAUAACUACUGGAAACGGUAGCUAAUAUCGCACACCAUCAGAUGUGCCCAGAUGGGAUUAGCUAGUGGGUGGGGUAACGGCUCACCUAGGCGACGAUCCCUAGCUGGUCUGAGAGGAGGACCAGCCACACUGGAACUGAGACACGGUCCAGACUCCUACGGGAGGCAGCAGUGGGGAAUAUUGCACAAUGGGCGCAAGCCUGAUGCAGCCAUGCCGCGUGUGUGAAGAAGGCCUUCGGGUUGUAAAGCACUUUCAGCGGGGAGGCGUUACCCGCAGAAGAAGCACCGGCUAACUCCGUGCCAGCAGCCGCGGUAAUAC
rnacentral:rRNA from 1 species